AGAAUUUUUCACAAUGGGGGAAACCCUGAUGGAGCGACGCCGCGUGGGGGAUGAAUGGCUUCGGCCCGUAAACCCCUGUCAUUCGCGAACAAUGCUCCGAGCCUAAUACGUUCGGAGUUGAUAGUAGCGGAAGAGGAAGGGACGGCUAACUCUGUGCCAGACGCCGCGGUAAUACAGAGGUCCCAAGCGUUGUUCGGAUUCACUGGGCGUAAAGGGUGCGUAGGUGGUCGAGUAAGUCUGAUGUGAAAUCUCCGAGCUCAACUCGGAAAUGGCAUUGGAAACUACCCGGCUUGAGAGUUGGAGGGGGGACUGGAAUUCUCGGUGUAGCAGUGAAAUGCGUAGAUAUCGAGAGGAACACCAGUGGCGAAGGCGAGUCCCUGGACAACAUCUGACACUGAGGCACGAAAGCUAGGGGAGCAAAC
rnacentral:rRNA from 1 species